AUUGAACGCUGGCGGCAUGCUUUACACAUGCAAGUCGAACGGGCUUAGGGGCUUGCUCCUAAGUUAGUGGCGAACGGGUGAGUAAUGCAUCGGAACGUACCGUGUAGUGGGGGAUAACCCGGCGAAAGUCGGAUUAAUACCGCAUACGAUCUAAGGAUGAAAGCAGGGGAUCGCAAGACCUUGCGCUAUACGAGCGGCCGAUGUCGGAUUAGCUAGUUGGUAGGGUAAAGGCCUACCAAGGCGACGAUCCGUAGCGGGUCUGAGAGGAUGAUCCGCCACACUGGGACUGAGACACGGCCCAGACUCCUACGGGAGGCAGCAGUGGGGAAUUUUGGACAAUGGGCGAAAGCCUGAUCCAGCCAUGCCGCGUGAGUGAAGAAGGCCUUCGGGUUGUAAAGCUCUUUUGUCCGGGAGCAAAUCCUGUUCACUAAUACUGAGCGGGGCUGAGAGUACCGGAAGAAUAAGCACCGGCUAACUACGUGCCAGCCGCCGCGGUAAAAC
rnacentral:rRNA from 1 species